rnacentral:rRNA from 1 species
UACGUAGGGUGCAGGCGUUAAUCGGAAUUACUGGGCGUAAAGCGUGCGCAGGCGGUCUGCUAAGAGAGGUGUGAAAUCCCCGGGCUUAACCUGGGAACUGCGCUUCUAACUGGCAGGCUUGAGUGUGGCAGAGGGGGGUGGAAUUCCACGUGUAGCAGAGAAAUGCGUAGAUAUGUGGAGGAAUACCGAUGGCGAAGGCAGCCCCCUGGGAUAACACUGACGCUCAUGCACGAAAGCGUGGGGAGCAAACAGG